CCAAUACACACUAAAGCUCGUACACAGUAUACCUCAAGUGGUCCGAGUUUUUCUCUGCCAUUACCGGGCCGGGAGCUACUCACUCCGAACCUCCCCGAGACGUGAGGAACUCCUGGAGUAACGGCCGGUUAACCGGCGUAUGAUGUGUUAGAUGGAGCUGUUCAUGACUGUGUGAACAUGUGAAAAAUCAUCGCUCCGUUUCUGCAAUACGGGAUUUAUUGUCAUCGGAAACACGCAUACACCUUUCUGGAUACUUGAACAUCGUCAUCAUAAGAUGCUAUGUACCGUGACCAUCGUCAUGAUUAGAUACUAUGUACUGUGGCCAUCGUCAUCAUUAGAUACUGUGUACUGUGGACAUUACUGUGAACUUUAUAUAAAGUAGUAACAGUGGAUUAAGAUAGAUGUAUUGGACACUGGUAACCUUUUUCAAAAGAUGCUAAGUAUUGUCGAGGGAACAUAAGGUGAACAGUUUACACGAUGAUAAUUACUGGAUGACGUUUACAACAAAGUUUGGUGACGACUAGCACAGAAUGCCGCGUGUAACUUGGGAGGAUAUGGCACCACUUGCCCCAAUACCGGACAGAACCGUCCGGAGACGGGAACACCCUCCGCCCACCAGAGAGGCCGAGUACAAGGCCAUCAUUGUCAAAGUGAACGACAUCUGUCUCCAGAUACGUAAAUUCGCCAAGAAGUACCUGGACCGCAAGGCGGUGGACUAUGUUGAGUGUGAUAAGUGCCUUUCGGAACUCCUCCGUUCUUGGGAAAUGGAUGCAUCUGACUUUAAAACGUGGAAGGAAUUCCUAGAAAAGUUAAAAUUUAGAGAAAUCAGGCAAGAAGUGAGGGAAUCUGAAAGUUGUAAAGAUUUGCUAUAUAUAUGUGACAGAGCGAAAGCGUUUGAACUAGCUAUUCCAGGAAUACGAGAAAAGCUGGUCAAAUGUACCAGAGAACACCUGCAGAAAUACUGCAAAAGUUUUAUAGAGGAAAUGGGUGGUCUCGAUAUCCGACCCGUGUUUGAUUACGAUGAGGCUCUGAAGGGCUACAAGGCGGACAUCGAGGGUAAGAUUGAUCAGAUCAACACUAAUAUCCUGACUUACGGAGAACUAAAAACACCUUUUGACAAGUUUGUAAAUGAAGGCAGCGUCCACAGUAGCCUCAUGGAGGAAGUGUGCGUGGCGGUAGUGGAAGUAUCCCACGCAGUGAAGAAGUGGGUGAGUGAGGACGCGACAUACCCCGACAGACUACUCCAGGAGAUCUUUUUCAACAACUCGUACAAGGAAAAUCUGGAGGAGGACAUCCUCAGGCUCAACGCUAAACACAGAGACGCAGAGCGCAGUCUUGAGCGGAAACACAAGACAUUCACCCACCUACAUAGACAACAUCUCAGUCACAAGAAAGAAAAGAAGAAAUUAAAGUCUAGUUUGGAAACUGUGACUAAUAAGAUAGAGAAACUAGAGCGACAGGAGCGACAGAGACAGGAGGAGAUAUCAGGGUUACACUCCACACUAAGGGACAAAACACCGCGGUCUCAUCGAGACAAGGAAGAACUCGGCCUCAAGCUGGGCCGAACGGAAGAAAACCUGGAGAGAGUUCACGAGUGGAAAUCAGUCAGCGAGCGCCAACAGGCCCGGCUAGAGCGCGAGCUAAAGCAAGUGUCCGACCGCACGUACGAGCUGAAGGUGGAGGCCGUCACGGUCCGCCACGAGGAGGAUGAGAUGAAGAACUCCCUUCUCGGGAUAGAGAUCGAGGUUAAGUCAAUCAAGGACAGGAUCACUAGCAUUGAGGAAAAGAACGUGGUCCUGAAGAAGAUCCGGGUACUUAAACUCUCCCCCGACACACUCAGAAUGAUCCACAAACGUCGGAUACAGGCCAACGGUCGGGAAGCCAGUGAAGCUAGCAGCCAUGAAAGAGAGCCCCCGGUCGAUAGUGGUCCGGGUAACACCGACGGUGCGCUGGAAGACGCCUGCAGGUUUGUGGCUCAGUUUAUCGGCAAGGAUUGGAAAAGGCUGUACGACAGACUCCCGUUCGCACCAGCUCGUGAUACGGACAAGCGUCAAAAGGACGUGUUUGUGAUCGACCAAAUCUCGGCUCGACGAGACCGCACACCGGAGGAGACUGCUGUCACGUGUUUGGAGAAGUGGCGCAAUUUCAAUAGGCAUGGUGACAUAGCACAGUUAAUCAAAGGCCUAAGGACGCUAAAUAAGGUGGAACUCGCGGAAAAAGUGGAAACGAAGUAUAUGGUUACGAAUGUGUACAGCUGAAUUUUGUUGAUUAAGGAAGCCAGGACAACGACACUGUUAUCAAGAUUUUAUACUGUGACCAGAAGAGUGCUUGGACGAAUAUAGCUGGUGACGUCAUGUGAUGUACGUAAAGUGGAUGUACACUCAGACAAAUAGGCCCGAUGACGUCAUGUGUCGUACAUAAGGCAAGAUGUACGCUUGUACGCUCGGGCGAGUGGAUUCAGUGACGCCUCGUGUCGCACUUAAAGAAGAAAACUAUGUCUUAUGUAAUACACAAGGUGAAAUGUAAGUUUGGAAGUGUGGACUUAAUGACGUCAUGUGUAAUAUAUCAAGCCUAGUGACGUCACGUAAUUGUUUAAAUGGUGCUAACAGAGAGAACAUUAUCUAAACGUGUGAGAAAGAAGACUUUGUUUAAAGGCAUGUCAGUAUUUAUUAGACUGGAAUGUGGAUUUAAAUUAUUAAUUUAUAUAUGUAUUCACAUGACUAGUAAUUUGAUAUCAGUUUAUAUGUGAUUAAAUGAAUAUAUUUAGAACAGUAAAUCAAACGCUGCUGAAUUAUUGAGGUAAUUAAAUAAACGUAUAGCUCACUUUUGUCUUGA